UUUCCGUAGGUGAACCUGCGGAAGGAUCAUUACAGAGUUCAUGCCCUCACGGGUAGAUCUCCCACCCUUGAAUAUUUAUACCUUAGUUGCUUUGGCAGGCCGUGGAAACACCAUGGGCUCCGGCUUAUGCGUGCCUGCCAGAGGAAACAAACUCUGUUUUUAGUGAUGUCUGAGUACUAUAUAAUAGUUUAAACUUUCAACAACGGAUCUCUUGGUUCUG
rnacentral:misc_RNA from 1 species